GAUUGGGACUAUAGCUCAGUUGGUAGAGUGCUUGCCUUGCAUGCACAAAGCCCUGGAUUUGAUCCCCAGCAAAACA
rnacentral:tRNA from 1 species